AGCUGGUCUGAUGGUAGUGGGUUAUCAGAAUUUAUUAAUAUUAAUGUCACUAAAGUUGGUAUAACUCUCCACUGCUAAAUUUGACUGGCUUUAA
rnacentral:Y_RNA from 1 species